rnacentral:lncRNA from 1 species
UUUUAAAAUAGCUCGGGAGUUAUACCGAAAAGUUAUACCAGGAGGCUUUCUAGUUGAACCUGUAAGUAAAAACCUAGACCCCUGAAACCCUAAUGUGCAUGAAAAAUCAAGAAAUCAAGAUUCCUGUUGGUCAGGCGGGCCGUGUAAAAAAUAGCCAAAAGGUCACGCGGGCCGCGUCAACAUGUGUUUGACCGGAUAAGCUUUCCCAGGCCACGUGACAUCCACCUGGCAGACCUACUGGUGACCCAGCAACCCUACGCGUAGACUAGGUGGCCACGCGGGCGGCGUAAGGGUCGAGCCAAGGCUCACGCGAGCCGCGUGAGAUCCAAUUUCCAGCUAUAAAUAGAGCGGGUUAUGAGCAAUUCACUGGUGUCGACGAAACAUUCAAAAUCGAUCAUAUUCUGCUCAAAUUUUACUUUCAAAUUAGUAGGGUGUUGCUACGAUACAUGGAUACAAGGCUAAUCAGUAGGCUACAACUCUGCCCGUAUAAAUCUGCAAUGUAAUUACAGUAGAUCGGAAUAAGAGCUAGAUACGACACCAAAAAGGCUUACAGAAGUGGCUUGAUUUAUCAGUUAAAUAAAAUUAAGAAAAGUUGUUUUAUGUAAUCGGGUUUAUCCCAUAUUAAAAGCUACCUUUAUGAAAUGUGGGUUUAU